rnacentral:sRNA from 16 species
CGUCGCCCGCUGCACCACGGUCAAGGCCGUGAUACCUGUGCGAAUUAUUGAUCUGGUCGCGCCGCUGCUCCACAAGAGCACCGCCAUGCGCAGAACAGAAACCAGCUGCCGGUGUGCGGCAAGGUCUGGCGCAGUUGCUGCACUGAUCGGCUAACGCCUUCGGUGAGGUGAUGUAGAUAGCGCGAUACGACG